AGUGAACGCUGGCGGUAGGCCUAACACAUGCAAGUCGAACGGCAGCACAGGAGAGCUUGCUCUCUAGGUGGCGAGUGGCGGACGGGUGAGGAAUACAUCGGAAUCUGCCCAGUCGUGGGGGAUAACGUAGGGAAACUUACGCUAAUACCGCAUACGACCUUCGGGUGAAAGAGGGGGAUCGCAAGACCUCUCGCGAUUGGAUGAGCCGAUGUCGGAUUAGCUAGUUAGCGGGGUAAUGGCCCACCAAGGCGACGAUCCGUAGCUGGUCUGAGAGGAUGAUCAGCCACACUGGAACUGAGACACGGUCCAGACUCCUACGGGAGGCAGCAGUGGGGAAUCUUGGCCCAUGGGCGCCAGCCUGAUCCAGCCAUACCGCGUGGGUGAAGAAGGCCUUCGGGUUGUAAAGCCCUUUUGUUGGGAAAGAAAUCUUUCAGGCUAAUACCCUGGGAGGAUGACGGUACCCACAGAAUAAGCACCGGCUCCCUUCGUG
rnacentral:rRNA from 1 species